rnacentral:lncRNA from 1 species
AUACACCUAAAAUAUAAAACAAAGUAUUGAAAUAAAAGCAAACUUUCUCUUACACUCCUUUCAGAAAAUCGAAAUUACUUGUAAAGAUAGGACACAACAUUAGAAAUUUUAAGUAUUUUCAAAGAUAUAGAAUGCAUGGAAGCAUUAGACAGAAUAUUCAUUUGUUAUCUUAGUCAGACUUAUGAUUCAAUCAAGCAUACAAAAAGAAAUAAUUUAACAAGAUAUGACACAGCAUUCAAGACGUACCCACAAGUUUGCCCAUAAGCUAGAGCCAAACAUGGGAACAAUUACUGCAACGUUGACAUCCUUCCAGCUGCUGGAAUAACAUCGCUACUCCAUCCAAUAGCUACCCAUAGAUCUCCUAUUCCAAAGGCUCGUUUCCAAAUUUCUUCAAGCUCAAUUCUUCUCAAAAUUUGCUUAACUUUCUCUCGCUUGCUGGAAAUCAAGGAAAAAUAGUAGCUGAAUUUUUUGCCUCCACACCCCCCCACCAAAAAAAAAUGAAAUAAAGAAAUAAAUAACAUCAAGAAGUGCGGGAUGAUAAUCGAAUACACUCCAACCUGCCCACACCCCAUGCUUCUCAAUCUUUUGGAAUGAGUUAUGAACGAAAUGGGAUGGUCUACAUUUAUAAUACAAGAAAAAUAAUAAGUAAGACGCAAGAAGUAUAUCAAGGUUUCCAUUGGACAAAUGACAGUAGAUUUUUCUCAAUCGAGAUGCAAUUUCUUUUGGUCAAUGCUAAUAAAAUGACAUAUUACCUGCUUGUUUUGGGCUGCUUGCAAAUCUUAAUGUUGAGGAUGCAAAAGAAGUCAAAGAUGCAGUUUCAGCCAAAGUUUAGGAUGGAUAUGCAGAUGCAGAUGAGGACGAAGUCGAAGAUAAUGAAGCAAAUGAAGAUGCAAAGGCGAACAAAGAAAAAGAUAGAGACAUAGAGCCAGGAGAGAAGUUUCGAGAUUUAGAGCAAAGAAAAAGAUGUUUUGUUGAAUUGGG